rnacentral:rRNA from 1 species
AUUGAACGCUGGCGGCAUGCCUUACACAUGCAAGUCGAACGGCAGCGGACCUUCGGGUGCCGGCGAGUGGCGAACGGGUGAGUAAUGCAUCGGAACGUGCCAUUGAGUGGGGGAUAACGUAGCGAAAGUUACGCUAAUACCGCAUAUUCUGUGAGCAGGAAAGCAGGGGACCGCAAGGCCUUGCGCUCUUUGAGCGGCCGAUGUCAGAUUAGCUAGUUGGUGAGGUAAAGGCUUACCAAGGCGACGAUCUGUAGCGGGUCUGAGAGGAUGAUCCGCCACACUGGAACUGAGACACGGUCCAGACUCCUACGGGAGGCAGCAGUGGGGAAUUUUCGACAAUGGCGCAAGCCUGAUCCAGCCAUGCCGCGUGAGUGAAGAAGGCCUU